rnacentral:lncRNA from 1 species
CUCACAAAAAAAAAGAAGGCCACACUAAAGAAGCACGUUCCUAGUAUGUAUCUAAUAACAUAAAUAUGCUACUACUCAAUAUAACUAAACUAUUCUGUGAGCAAAAGGAAAACAUGCAUGUAGCUAGAAAAAAAGGAAGCAAACCUCAAGCAGCAGAACAGAGUUAUAGCAAAGCAGAAGAUCAAGAUGCAGUAACACAGGAGAUCGCAGAACCUGCUAAAUAAACAGAGAUGAAGUAGCCAGAGCAGGUAAAGAGAACUACAUGUGCCAAGGUAUUAAAACAUUUUACAGUUCAUUUUGCAAGUUCAAAAUUGACACCAUGGCAGCCCAGAACUGUAGAGAAAAACACCAGGCAUGCUCUGCAUGUCUACCAUGUUUCACUUUGAGAUAAAGCUCAAUUGCAACUAAAAUAUCUCUCCUUGUAGCUCCUAUAACCCACACACCUAAAUUAAACCAACAAGUUAGAAUAUCAUUGUUUGCGAAGAAAGACCACAACAACCUAAUCAACGAUAUCCCUUCUUUAAUAAUUUCCUUUCUUCUCUAUAGUUCCAAUUUUUCAAUAUGGCGCAAUGAUUCAUCCCUAUUUAAUCUUACAUUGAGAUCCAAAUUUAGUGUGUGGCAUAGAUGUUAAUAAACCCAGCCUAAAAUCUGGGAAGAGCAAAACAAUAAAACUGAGAGUUCCCUUCUUUAUUCUAAGUUUCCGUCGAACUGGCAAAAUCAUAUGUAGGCAACUCAAGUUAUACGCCGCAUGCAAUAACUGAACUUCCUCAACAACCUCACAAAUGUAGGACAAGCCAGGCAAGCAGCGAUAUAUUGAGGAUUAAAAAAUACAUGAGUUGAGAAACUGAUCAUAUACCUUUAGAUGCAAUGACACACUUAUCCUAGAAAGUCCUGUAGUGUGGUAAUAACCUGAUGUUAGGCAUAUAUCUAUAUCCCCGGCGAGCAAUCAUGGUGCAGAUACGUAGUUAGUUGGAUAGGUUUAGCAUGGAGGUGACACAAUGUCUUGGCACAAACAAAAUAUAUUAUAUAAGUUUUCACUUCCAUUAUGCCAACACUGUCAAACAUCCUGUCACAUAGAACGUAAAGUUAACUUGGAUCAACCUCUUAGGUAACCGGUUGGACUAAUAACGGCACAGUUCAAAUUUAAAUGUUGCAUACAAGACAUCAGCCAUGUUCCUGUAAUCUAUGUCAUCAACGGCACUUGUAGCAAAUGUUUCUUGUAGUUAACUGAUGAUUUAGAGCCAUGCUCGUGUAGUGUUGUAAAGGUUGGAUCAUUGUAACCCUCCAAAUAUUUACUUGGUAAUCAAGUAGGAGAGCCACCAUAUGAGUAUACAGAAAGAUGAUCAAACCCUCGGCAACUUUCACUUUGAGGAAUUUCAUGUAUAUAAAUACGCCCUGAAAUGGACCAGCUCAAAUGUUCACACAUCCACUAAGAAAAUAAAAAACACAAAGCAACAAGUGCUUUCUUGUUAAGGUUUAAGCCUGAAAUGGACCAGCUCAAAGGUUCUACAACAACUAUUGUUCAGGUUUAAGCCUCGUUUGGCAGAAAUUCACGUUGAAUGACCAAUUUACAUGUACAACCAAACUCUCUCUUACUUUUGUUCUGAUUCUAAACAUCCUUUAAAAUCAAAAGAAGUAGCCGCAGAAUGGACAGAAUAACAAGCAUAGUUAAAAAAGGCACGCCUAAGCGAGCGCUUAAGUGUGGCCAGGCUCUAGGCGAUGGCAAAACGCAUAGCGCAUAACUGCGCUUAAUCUGCGCAUAAUUGCGCAUAAGCAUGCGCUUUGGUCAGAAAAGCGCAAGGCGGUGGCAAAACGCACAAUUAACGCCUAGCACUUUUUUGAACUAAGAUAACAAGUGAAGUAGGUACCUAGCUGCAACACCUCAUGUUAAACAUCUCGCUGCCACCAUACCAUAGACAUUCAGGUUUCACCAAUAGCUCAUAUGCAAUACAAC